CCUACGGGUGGCAGCAGUGAGGAAUAUUGGUCAAUGGGCGCGAGCCUGAACCAGCCAAGUAGCGUGAAGGAUGACUGCCCUCCGGGUUGUAAACUUCUUUUAUAAAGGAAUACAGUGAGGCACGUGUGCCUUUUUGUAUGUACUUUAUGAAUAAGGAUCGGGAAACUCCGUACCAGCAGCCGCGGUAAUACGGGGGAUGCGAGCGUUAUCCGGAUUCAUUGGGGUUAACGGGUGCGCGGGCGGGCCUUUAAGCCGGCGGUGAAAUCGCGGGGCCAAACCCCGCCGAGCCGUCGGAACUGGGGGCCUUGAGUGCGGCGGAGGCAAGGGGAAUGCGCGGUGUAGCGGUGAAAUGCAUAGAUAUCGGGAAGAACCCCGGUGGCGAAGGCGGCGUGCCGUGCCGCAACUGACGCUGAGGCACGAAAGCGUGGGGAGCGAACAGGAUUAGAUACCCUGGUAGUC
rnacentral:rRNA from 1 species